rnacentral:rRNA from 1 species
AAAGUCUGAUGGAGCAACGCCGCGUGAGUGAUGAAGGUUUUCGGAUCGUAAAACUCUGUUGUAAGGGAAGAACCAGUACGUCAGGCAAUGGACGUACCUUGACGGUAUCUUAUUAGAAAGCCACGGCUAACUACGUGCCAGCAGCCGCGGUAAUACGAAGGGGGCUAGCGUUGUUCGGAAUUACUGGGCGUAAAGCGCACGUAGGCGGAUAUUUAAGUCAGGGGUGAAAUCCCAGAGCUCAACUCUGGAACUGCCUUUGAUACUGGGUAUCUUGAGUAUGGAAGAGGUAAGUGGAAUUCCGAGUGUAGAGGUUAAAUUCGUAGAUAUUCGGAGGAACACCAGUGGCGAAGGCGGCUUACUGGUCCAUUACUGACGCUGAGGUGCCAAAGCGUGGGGAGCAAACA